rnacentral:rRNA from 1 species
AACGAACGCUGGCGGCAUGCCUAACACAUGCAAGUCGAACGAGACCUUCGGGUCUAGUGGCGCACGGGUGCGUAACGCGUGGGAACCUGCCCUUAGGUUCGGAAUAACUCCCCGAAAGGGGUGCUAAUACCGGAUAAUGUCUUCGGACCAAAGAUUUAUCGCCUUUGGUUGGGCCCGCGUUGGAUUAGCUAGUUGGUAGGGUAAAAGCCUACCAAGGCGACGAUCCAUAGCUGGUCUGAGAGGAUGAUCAGCGACACUGGGACUGAGACACGGCCCAGACACCUACGGGAGGCAGCAGUGGGGAAGAUUGGACAAUGGGCGAAAGCCUGAUCCAGCAAUGCCGCGUGAGUGAUGAAGGCCUUAGGGUUGUAAAGCUCUUUUACCCGGGAUGAUAAUGACAGUACCGGGAGAAUAAGCUCCGGCUAACUCCGUG